UUUGACCACAUUUCCAACUUUCGCGCCCAGCUCAAGUGGCUCCCUAUUCGUCUCCGCCGUAAUUCUCAUAUUUUAGCUCUUCUCUAUAAUAUUCUUUUCAACCCCUCUACUCCUUCCUAUCUUAAAGAGCGUUUUAAUUAUCUGUCCUCCGUCAGACCUUCACGGAAAUAUCAACUUGCUCCUCCUCCUUCCUCUACAAAGUUUUACAAUGACUCCUUCACGUUUCGAGCGGUUCGGCUGUGGAACGGCCUGCCGUUAGAGAUUAGGUGUGCUAAAUCACUUGAAACUUCAAAACUUUACUAAAGAAUCAUUACCUAUCUCUGCCUUAAUUUGCUGCUGUGUAUGUUAUGUUAUGUAUGUAUGUAUGUGUGUAUGCAUUUGUGUAUGUAUUAAUACUUAUAUGUGUAUGUUUGUGUACAUGAUAUUUUAUUUUUAUUUAUUUAUUUUUAUAUUUUAUUUUUAAUAU